rnacentral:rRNA from 1 species
GUUUUCGGAUCGUAAAGCUCUGUUGUAAGAGAAGAACGAGUGUGAGAGUGGAAAGUUCACACUGUGACGGUAACUUACCAGAAAGGGACGGCUAACUACGUGCCAGCAGCCGCGGUAAUACGUAGGUCCCGAGCGUUAUCCGGAUUUAUUGGGCGUAAAGCGAGCGCAGGCGGUUAGAUAAGUCUGAAGUUAAAGGCUGUGGCUUAACCAUAGUACGCUUUGGAAACUGUUUAACUUGAGUGCAGAAGGGAGAGUGGAAUUCCAUGUGUAGCGGUGAAAUGCGUAGAUAUAUGGAGGAACACCGGUGGCGAAAGCGGCUCUCUGGUCUGUAACUGACGCUGAGGCUCGAAAGCGUGGGGAGCAAACAGGAUUAGAUACCCUGGUAGUCCACGCCGUAACGAUGAGUGCUAGGUGUUGGGUCCUUUCCGGGACUCAGUGCCGCAGCUAACGCAUUAAGCACUCCGCCUGGGGAGUACGACCGCAAGGUUGAAACCUCAAAGGAAUUGACGGGGGCCCGCACAAGCGGUGGAGCAUGUGGUUUAAUUCGA